CACGUAGGGCGCAAGCGUUGUCCGGAAUUAUUGGGCGUAAAGGGCGCGUAGGCGGCUUGGCAAGUGGAAGGUGAAAUCCCUCGGCUUAACCGAGGAACUGCCCUCCAAACUGCUUUGCUUGAGGCCGGGAGAGGCGAGUGGAAUUCCCAGUGUAGCGGUGAAAUGCGCAGAUAUCAGGAGGAACACCGAUGGCGAAGGCAGGUCUCUGGGCCAUAACUGACGCUGAGAAGCGAAAGCAUGGGGAGCGAACAGG
rnacentral:rRNA from 1 species